AGCAUAUUUUGCCCAAGCGGAGCUCGACCGCAUCUUCAGACCAUGACACGCUUCAUUGAGGAGCAUCGGCAGAUAUAUGGUGUCGGGUCAAUCUGCAGGGUUCUGUCGAUUGCACCA
rfam:Acetobacter indonesiensis 5H-1 DNA, contig: Abin_088.